GUGGAUAUAGCUCAGCUGGUCAGAGCGCCAGGUUGUGGCCCUGGAGGUCAUGGGUUCGAUCCCCAUUAUUCACCCCA
rnacentral:tRNA from 1 species